rnacentral:rRNA from 1 species
GACGAACGCUGGCGGCGUGCUUAACACAUGCAAGUCGAACGGAAAGGCCCUGCUUUUGUGGGGUGCUCGAGUGGCGAACGGGUGAGUGACACGUGAGUAAACUGCCCUUGACUUUGGGAUAAAUUCUGGAAACUCGGGCUAAUAUCGGAUAGGAGCUCCUGCUGCAUGUUGUGGAAUGGAAAGUUUCGGCGGUUGUGGAUGGAAUCGCGGCUUAUCAGCUUGUUGGUGGGGUAGUGGCUUACCAAGGCUUUGAAGGGUAGCCGGCCUGGGAGGGUGACCGGCGACAUGGGGACUGAGAGACGGCGCAGACGCCUACGGGAGGCAGCAGGGGGGAAUAUUGCACAAUGGGGGGAAGCCUGAGGCAGCAACGCCGCGUGCGGGAUGACGGCCUUCGGGUUGUAAACCGCUUUCGCCUGUGACGAAGCGGGAUUGACGGUAAUGGGUAAAGAAGCACCGGCUAACUACGUG